CAGUCGCCGCGGGAAUACGAAGGGGGCUAGCGUUGUUCGGAAUUACUGGGCGUAAAGCGCACGUAGGCGGAUCGAUCAGUCAGGGGUGAAAUCCCAGGGCUCAACCCUGGAACUGCCUUUGAUACUGUCGAUCUGGAGUAUGGAAGAGGUGAGUGGAAUUCCGAGUGUAGAGGUGAAAUUCGUAGAUAUUCGGAGGAACACCAGUGGCGAAGGCGGCUCACUGGUCCAUUACUGACGCUGAGGUGCGAAAGCGUGGGGAGCAAACAGGAUUAGAUACCCGUGUAGUCCCUGUCUCUUAUAC
rnacentral:rRNA from 1 species